rnacentral:rRNA from 1 species
UACAGAGGGUGCAAGCGUUAAUCGGAUUUACUGGGCGUAAAGCGCGCGUAGGUGGCCAAUUAAGUCAAAUGUGAAAUCCCCGAGCUUAACUUGGGAAUUGCAUUCGAUACUGGUUGGCUAGAGUAUGGGAGAGGAUGGUAGAAUUCCAGGUGUAGCGGUGAAAUGCGUAGAGAUCUGGAGGAAUGCCGAUGGCGAAGGCAGCCAUCUGGCCUAAUACUGACACUGAGGUGCGAAAGCAUGGGGAGCGAACAGG